rnacentral:rRNA from 1 species
CAGAGGGUGCAAGCGUUGUUCGGAAUUAUUGGGCGUAAAGCGCGUGUAGGCGGUCGCGUAAGUCGGGUGUGAAAGCCCUCAGCUCAACUGAGGAAGUGCGCCCGAAACUGCGUGGCUUGAGUACCGGAGAGGAUGGCGGAAUUCCCGAGGUAGAGGUGAAAUUCGUAGAUAUCGGGAGGAACACCGGUGGCGAAGGCGGCCAUCUGGACGGAUACUGACGCUGAGACGCGAAAGCGUGGGUAGCAAACAGGAUUAGAUACCCUGGUAGUCCACGCCGUAAACGAUGAGAACUAGGUGUCGUGGGUGUUGACCCCCGCGGUGCCGCAGCUAACGCAUUAAGUUCUCCGCCUGGGAAGUACGGCCGCAAGGCUA